AGCGAACGCUGGCGGCAGGCCUAACACAUGCAAGUCGAACGAAGUCCUCGUUCUUAGUGGCGGACGGUUGAGUAACACGUGGGACCGUGUCUUUAGGUUCGGAGUAACUCAGGGAAACCUGUGCUAAUACCGAAUGUGCCCUUCGUGGUAAAGAUUUAUCGCCUUUAGACCGGCCCGCGUCUAAUUAGCUAGUUGGGGAGGUAAAGGCUCACGAAGGCGACGAGCAGUAGCUGGUAAGAGCGGAUGGAUAGCCACAUUGAGACUGAGACACGGCCAGACCACAUACGGGAGGCAGCAGUGGGGAAUCUUGCGCAAUGGGCGAAAGCCUGACUCAGCCAUGCCGCGUGCAUAAUGAAGGUCUUAGGAUUGUAAAAUUCUUUCACCGGGGACGAUACUGACGGUACCCGGAGAGGAAGCCCCGGCUAACUUCGUGCCAGCCGCCGCCGUAA
rnacentral:rRNA from 1 species